GCUGGAGGCUCGGCCCCAGGCCGGAGAGGAACUCCUUUCGCGAGCUGUCGCCGCGCCGGCGUCUCAGCUGCUCGCCGCCCCCCACCCCAGAGUGCGUGCCGGGUGACUCCCGCCACCUUUGCGACCCUCCUGAGCUUAGGGGACUGCGAGCGGGAGGGAGUCUCAGGCCCCCGGCCGCAGGAUGGUGGCGGAGCGGUCCCCGGCCCGCAGCCCCGGGAGCUGGCUGUUCCCCGGGCUGUGGCUGUUGGUGCUCAGCGGUCCCGGGGGGCUGCUGCGCGCCCAGGAGCAGCCCUCCUGCAGAAGAGCCUUUGAUCUCUACUUCGUCCUGGACAAGUCUGGGAGUGUGGCAAAUAACUGGAUUGAAAUUUAUAAUUUCGUACAGCAACUUGCGGAGAGAUUUGUGAGCCCUGAAAUGAGAUUAUCUUUCAUUGUGUUUUCUUCUCAAGCAACUAUUAUUUUGCCAUUAACUGGAGACAGAGGCAAAAUCAGUAAAGGCUUGGAGGAUUUAAAACGUGUUAGUCCAGUAGGAGAGACAUAUAUCCAUGAAGGACUAAAGCUAGCGAAUGAACAAAUUCAGAAAGCAGGAGGCUUGAAAACCUCCAGUAUCAUAAUUGCUCUGACAGAUGGCAAGUUGGACGGUCUGGUGCCAUCAUAUGCAGAGAAAGAGGCAAAGAUAUCCAGGUCACUUGGGGCUAGUGUUUAUUGUGUUGGUGUCCUUGAUUUUGAACAAGCACAGCUUGAAAGAAUUGCUGAUUCCAAGGAGCAAGUUUUCCCUGUCAAAGGUGGAUUUCAGGCUCUUAAAGGAAUAAUUAAUUCUAUACUAGCUCAGUCAUGUACUGAAAUCCUAGAAUUGCAGCCCUCAAGUGUCUGUGUGGGGGAGGAAUUUCAGAUUGUCUUAAGUGGAAGAGGAUUCAUGCUGGGCAGUCGGAAUGGCAGUGUUCUCUGCACUUACACUGUAAAUGAAACAUAUACAACGAGUGUAAAACCAGUAAGUGUACAGCUUAAUUCUAUGCUUUGUCCUGCACCUAUCCUGAAUAAAGCUGGAGAGUAAGUACUUAAUUUAAAACAAUUUUAUAACAUUUUUAGUAAAAAAUUAUUAGAAAAUGGUGACAUAUACAUUGGUCAUUUUAUUCUAUCUUUUUUUGAUAUACAGAGCAUUAAAAAGUAAGCCUUGGGCAAGCCACUUAACUUAGUACUAGGCAAGCAAGUUAGUACUUCAGCUAUACUCUUAGUAGGUUGAAAAUGCUAAAAAGUGUUUUAGCUAGUUUCUUCAAUACUGAUUAAAAGGCUCUAUGAAUAUUUAUCUGGAUGGGUUUGAGAACUAUUAUUAGAAUCUAUAAAUAAUCAGAGCCAUAAACAUUAUUUUAAACACACACACAUGCACACGCACACACAUGUGUGUGCAUGCACACACCCAGUUCAAAAGUGAGAUUUUCAAUAAUUACUAUAGUAUUUAAUAAAUAUUGCGAUUAAAGUGCCUCAAGAACAUGGCUAAAAAAAGGCACACCUUGCAC
rnacentral:lncRNA from 1 species